rnacentral:rRNA from 1 species
AGCGAACGCUGGCGGCAGGCCUAACACAUGCAAGUCGAACGAAGCCUUCGGGCUUAGUGGCGGACGGGUGAGUAACACGUGGGAACGUACCUUUUGGUUCGGAAUAACGCAGAGAAAUUUGCGCUAAUACCGAAUGAGCCCUUCGGGGGAAAGAUUUAUCGCCGAAAGAUCGGCCCGCGUUGGAUAGGUAGUUGGUGUGGUAAAGGCGCACCAAGCCUACGAUCCAUAGCUGGUCUGAGAGGAUGAUCAGCCACACUGGGACUGAGACACGGCCCAGACUCCUACGGGAGGCAGCAGUGGGGAAUCUUGCGCAAUGGGCGAAAGCCUGACGCAGCCAUGCCGCGUGAAUGAUGAAGGUCUUAGGAUUGUAAAAUUCUUUUACCAGGGACGGUAAUGACGGUACCUGGAGAAAAAGCCCCGGCUAACUUCGUGCCAGCAGCCGCGGUAAGAC